rnacentral:rRNA from 1 species
AUUGAACGCUGGCGGCAGGCUUAACACAUGCAAGUCGAGCGGAGAUGAGGUGCUUGCACCUUAUCUUAGCGGCGGACGGGUGAGUAAUGCUUAGGAAUCUGCCUAUUAGUGGGGGACAACAUUCCGAAAGGAAUGCUAAUACCGCAUACGUCCUACGGGAGAAAGCAGGGGAUCUUCGGACCUUGCGCUAAUAGAUGAGCCUAAGUCGGAGUAGCUAGUUGGUGGGGUAAAGGCCUACCAAGGCGACGAUCUGUAGCGGGUCUGAGAGGAUGAUCCGCCACACUGGGACUGAGACACGGCCCAGACUCCUACGGGAGGCAGCAGUGGGGAAUAUUGGACAAUGGGGGGAACCCUGAUCCAGCCAUGCCGCGUGUGUGAAGAAGGCCUUAUGGUUGUAAAGCACUUUAAGCGAGGAGGAGGCUACUGAGACUAAUACUCUUGGAUAGUGGACGUUACUCGCAGAAUAAGCACCGGCUAACUCCGUGCCAGCCGCCGCGGUAA